GCUUCGGUCACAGUGACCGCCACCGUUGCCAAGGGAUGGGUCCCUGAGACUUGGCGAAGUGGGAGCCCUGUGUGAUCGUGCGUCAGAGUCGGGGCUGAGACCAGCCCCGGCCAGGGUAGUUACCGGGACGGUCUCCGGAGGCCGGGAUUCGCGGAGGGUCCACCAGCAGGAAGAAACCCCAGGAGGAAGAAACCUCAGACAGAUCGCCGGGGAGGCAGCGCGGGAUCCCAGCCUCAGGCGUGCGCGGACGGUGUGCGGGUCAGCCAAAGAGGAGCAAAGAGUCAUCUACCUCAAUCAUGUUCAGGAAAUGAUCAGGUCAAGAUGUGGAGUGAGCAAGCUUUUCUCUUUUGUGCCACAUUUUCUGACCCAGUAUUUCAAGCUACCCAAGGUGCGAAAAAGAAAGAAGGCCGAAGGGAAGAAGGUGGUGCUCACCCUUGCUGUCUUGAAAAAGCAGGAGACCAUGAAAGUGGUGAAUCUUCCAUUUGAGAAAUUUGGCACUGGACAGGACAUUUUGGCAUUGGACAGAACAUCCAGCCCAAAAGGGACCUCACUUACUUUGUCAAAUGGCCCCAUUAUACUAGGUUGCAGCAGCAGAGAGCCAUCCUCUAUAAACAGCUAGAAGUGCCUUCUGUGAUUAAUCAGUUCACCAGGGCCUUGGACCACCAAACAGCUGCUCAAUGGGGGCCCAGUGCAAAAUGACGUGGAUGUUGUACCUCGUUCAAAGUGUUAAGCGUUUCAAGAUGGCAACAGCAGAGCAUUAGGCCAAGUAUGAGGUCAUUAUGUACAUGGGUCCUUGUGUGACCACACAGGUCACAGGAACAUGAAGCUAGACCUGAGUGUAUAUUCAGAUAGGUAAAUCUUACAGAUUUUUAAAACUCAAUAAAAGAAAAACUACAUUUCAUGUGUGAACACAAAAAUUGGAAUUAAAUUGGCAAUAGCAUUGGGAUUUGUGCUCAGAGUCACAGUUUACAUCUGACCACAAUUUCUAUAUGAAUUUUUUAAGAUAAAACAGUAAGAAUUUUAGAGAAGGUUUCUGAAAUUUAAAAAUUAUAAUAACAUAAUUAACUUUGAUAUUUUAAUUCCAUGUAAUUUAAAACAUUUAAUAGAUAUAUAAUGUUCCACUAUUAAUUUAACUAGAAGUAUAAAAAUAAAACAUAUAUAAUAAAAAUAUUCUACUGAUUUUUAAAUUAUCUAUAUUAUACUGAGUAAAAGAAAAUUUAGGAAUAUAAAUAAAUGAGCAUUUUUGAACAUGUAAAAAUAUUUUCUUGCUGUUUUUAGGAGACUUUUAGCAGGACAGGAGCUUACCUCUCAUCUACCUCUGCUUGGACAAACCAGUGAUGUGAUUUGCAAAUAGGCUGUAACUUCACCGAAAACACAUCACAGUAAAGAAAAGCAGUGACUUUCAGAGAAUUUGACCUAACUUAGAAUUUGUAAAAGAGAAAAGCAUUGUCCUUAUGCCUAAAGUACAUGACUGUUUCUUUUUAAGUUACAUGUAUAUUUACCUGACCAAUUUGUUUUACUCUGUAUUUUAAGUUAUCAGGUGAAAUGGUUUUGGAAUAAAUUAAUGAGUUGUUUGUUCUGAAUAAAUGUGCAUGUUACAAGUGCAA
rnacentral:lncRNA from 1 species